rnacentral:rRNA from 1 species
UACAGAGGUCCCAAGCGUUGUUCGGAUUCAUUGGGCGUAAAGGGUGCGUAGGUGGCGCCGUAAGUCGGGUGUGAAAUUUCGGAGCUUAACUCCGAAACUGCAUUCGAUACUGCGGUGCUUGAGGACUGGAGAGGAGACUGGAAUUUACGGUGUAGCGGUGAAAUGCGUAGAUAUCGUAAGGAAGACCAGUGGCGAAGGCGGGUCUCUGGACAGUUCCUGACGCUGAAGCACGAAGGCCAGGGGAGCAAACGGG